rnacentral:tRNA from 2 species
CAAGGAAUAGUUUAAGUAGAAUUUCAGCUUUGGGUGUUGAUGGUGAAGUUAGGGCUUCUUCCUUGA